rnacentral:rRNA from 1 species
UUGCCGUUUGGAACUCUAAAAAGACUGCCGGUUAUAAACCGGAGGAAGGCGGGGAUGACGUCAAAUCAUCAUGCCCCUUACACCCUGGGCUACACACGUGCUACAAUGGGCGAGACAAUGAGAUGCAACUCUGCAAAGACUAGCUAAUCUAAAAACUCGCUCUAAGUUCGGAUUGCAGGCUGCAACUCGCCUGCAUGAAGUUGGAAUCGCUAGUAAUCGCUGGUCAGCUACACAGCGGUGAAUUCGUUCCCGGGCCUUGUACACACCGCCCGUCACACCAUGGAAGCUGGUUAUGCCCGAAGUCGUUACUCUAACCUUUUGGAGGGAGACGCCUAAGGUAAAAUUAGUGACUGGGGUGAAGUCGUAACAAGGUAAC